GCUUGCUUUGGCAACACAUAUACCUAAAUUGGACUGAUACAGAGACUAGCAUGGCCCCUGUGCAAGGAUGACGCGCAAAUCAGUGAAACGUUUCAUAUUUUU